GGCACCAGCAACUCCUAUCCCUACCUCCUCGUGGUACUGGCCGGGAUACGAGUAACCUUAGGGAAGAUCGGAUAGCAAACCCCGGUGGGAACUCUGGUCGUAGGCUGACAGGGAAGG
rnacentral:ribozyme from 1 species